UACAGAGGUCCCGAGCGUUGUUCGGAUUUAUUGGGCGUAAAGGGUGCGUAGGCGGCGGAGUAAGUUGGGUGUGAAAUCCCGGGGCUUAACCUCGGAAUGGCAUUCAAUACUGCUUCGCUCGAGUACUGGAGAGGGGCUGGAAUUUACGGUGUAGCAGUGAAAUGCGUAGAUAUCGUAAGGAAGGCCGGUGGCGAAAGCGAGCCUCUGGACAGUUACUGACGCUGAUGCACGAAGGCCAGGGGAGCAAACGGG
rnacentral:rRNA from 1 species